rnacentral:rRNA from 1 species
GUCGAACGAAUCUUCUUCGGAAGAUGAGUGGCGAACGGGUGAGUAAUACAUAGGUAACCUGCCCCUGUGCGGGGGAUAACAGGAGGAAACUCCUGCUAAUACCGCAUAGCCAUGAGCACCGCAUGGAGCUCAUGCCAAAUAUCCUUUCGGGGAUAGCGCAGGGAUGGACCUAUGGCGCAUUAGCUGGUUGGCGGGGCAACGGCCCACCAAGGCAACGAUGCGUAGCCGGCCUGAGAGGGCGGACGGCCACAUUGGGACUGAGACACGGCCCAGACUCCUACGGGAGGCAGCAGUAGGGAAUUUUCGGCAAUGGGGGAAACCCUGACCGAGCAACGCCGCGUGAGCGAAGAAGGCCUUCGGGUCGUAAAGCUCUGUUGUAAAGGAAGAACGGCGCAUACAGGAAAUGGUAUGCGAGUGACGGUACUUUACCAGAAAGCCACGGCUAACUACGUGCCAGCAGCCGCGGUAAUACGUAGGUGGCGAGCGUUAUCCGGAAUCAUUGGGCGUAAAGAGGGAGCAGGCGGCCGCAAGGGUCUGUGGUGAAAGCCCGAAGCUAAACUUCGGUAAGCCAUGGAAACCGGGCGGCUAGAGUGCGGAAAGAGGAUCGUGGAAUUCCAUGUGUAGCGGUGAAAUGCGUAGAUAUAUGGAGGAACACCAGUGGCGAAGGCGACGGUCUGGGCCGCAACUGACGCUCAUUCCCGAAAGCGUGGGAAGCAAAUAGGAUUAGAUACCCUAGUAGUCCACGCCGUAAACGAUGGUCACUAAGUGUCGGGGGUCAAACCCCGGUGCUGCAGUCAACGCAGUAAGUGACCCCCUGARUAGUACGUUCGCAAGAAUGAAACUCAAAGGAAUU